CUUUGUAUAACCUCGUUAAAUGGACAUCUCUUUUUAUUUUUAGCAUUUUUUACCGCAUCUUUGAUAUAUAGUGAGAUUUCAAUUUCAAACCAAGCCCCAUCAAGACCAAGAUGAAUCGAAAUCCAUCGGAUAAUCGAAACUUUAGAAGGAAAGAAAAUUGAGAAUGGUUAAUGGAAAGAAAUUAAAUGCGUUAUUUGUUAUAUUUUGAAAAAAAUCCACAAGAGGCGCUAGUAGCACUUUUUUUUAUAUGUAGAACAUGGAUCUGGUUAAGGUUAAGGUUAUCUUCACAUUUCAUAUUUUCAUUAUAUUUUCAAUGGUACGUCUUGUGGUGUGGCUUGCUAUUCAAUUUUUCUACGAAAGGACACGAUACAUACAUAUCGAUCUUGCGUGAAAGGCAGAACCGUCGCCGAUGGAGAUUGUUUAGGAGCGAGAGGACGACAGACCGUCACCCACGUAGCUUGGUUUUCGUCACGCUCUUACGGUUACGCGGCAAUGCGAGAACGUUUCGUAACGUAAACACGUAUCCGGACAACUGUACACUGUACAGUGUGUAAUAUACAUUAGUGUAUACGUGUAGGGAACGACGCUCCUUGGAGAAGCCCGUUAUUUCGUCGAAUUUGAUCACUAUCCUAAAACGAUGAUGGUUAAACGGAAGAGAAGGAAGCCGUUUAACUUGCGACGUGACAACCGAUCGGAACCAUUCUCGGAAGUAUUGCAUUUCUGUUAUAUCCUUUAAAGUUUUGAAAAAUAAUUCGAUGAGAUUUUAGGUUAGACAUAACGCAUUACAGAAAAGAAAAAUGAGUUUAGAAUAAUUGAUUUUAUUUAGAGACAAAUUAAUAUGUGAUUUGCAUUAGAAAUGUCUUCGUCCACUGAAUAAUUCUUACUAAAUCUUUUUUUAGAAAUUCCGGUUCCAAUGAGUAUAUCUUUGAGGUUAAGAAAUUUCUAAAAUAUGCACAAUAUCGUCUUCUUUGUGCUAGAAACACGAAUGUAUAAUUUGAUAAUUUAUGAAAAUUUAUAUUUCUUCUACUAUUGAGAUUUAUUUUAAAAUUCAAUCAAACACUAUAAAAAAUAAUUUUAUCGCUUUAAUAUAAACUUACUAAAUAAUUAUAAAUAAACAAAGAUAGCAAUAAUUUUUUUUAGAAUUGAUUCUUUCAUAUGAAAUCUCAUUAAAUGGUUCAAAUAAUUAUAAAGAAAUACAAUCCAACGAAGAAUCUAUAUUUAAAAAGUAUAUUAAAAAUAUAAAUUAUGCUAUUAUUUUAUUCCAUUAACGAAAAAUUUUCAAAAAUUCCAAAAAAUUUUGGACGAAAAAAAAUAUCCUUUCAUUUUGCUAAAAUUUCGUUCAAACUCCUAAUACGUAUCCACGAAACUCGAAAUUUUAUGAAUAAGUAAAUCUCAUUCCCAAAAUGAUCGAUCGCGUAAACUCGGUCGUGUCGUGUCAUUCUUCUAUUUCGAAACCUCGAACGAUCACGGCGAAUCCACGUUAAUUGCAACGUUUUCCAUCCAGCGGGCCGAUUCGUAAAGUUUUGCAUUGAAAGGAUACGAUGAUACUGUAACAGUCUGCAUUGCAGUCCGCCAUGCGAAUACCUGUUUGACACACUGACGAAGGAAUCCACGAUGUGGCAUAAUAAAUGUCACGUGUUACGGGAUAAAGACAGUGUCACGAGUAACGUGUGCCGUUGAAAUUAUCGCAUGGAACACACUCGAAUGCCAACAUCGUAAUAUUGAAACUACUUUACACGGGGCUAUGGCAAAUAUGCGAAGACAUGGCCGACAUCGGUGCUUUGAGCCGCGGUUAUUAAAGAACGCCUUUACCAGGGAACGAUUUUUCUUCUUUUUUUCUUUUUUUCUUUUUUUUUCCUUUUUUUUUUCCGUUGAAAUGGCUACGAAUUACCUCGGUUUAUGAAAUUUUUUUCGACGAUGAAAAGAACGAUCGUCGCGAAUGAAAUAUCUCGACUGUGCGAAAUUGAAGUGAGCGCAGUUUUCGUUUAAGUAUAAAUUCAACGAGUGCGAUAAAUGGUAUGUAUUUUAUUCUAUAUAUAAACGGAUUCUCUGCAUAUUUAUUUAAAACUAUGCUCGAAGAUUCUAAGUUCGAAUUAAUGAACUUGGUACAAUUGGAUGUGGGAUUAAUAAAUAUUCUGGGAGGACAAUGAGAUAAGCUGUAACUUGGAUUGUGUAGGAAGAAGAGCAUUGAGACAAAAGCUGACUUAAAAUAUAGAGAUGUCCAAUGAUUGCGCGAAAAUCUUUGUUUAAAUCCUGCGAAUGAACGGUGAUUAUUUCUACGCAUAUAUUAUUUCUAUCAUAAAUUUUAUCUGAAAAUCUUGAUUGUAAAAUAAAUAAUAUUAAUUAGAUCUAUUAAAAUUGUUGAAAUUCGUUAAAUUAAAUUUGCAUAUUUAGAUCCGAUUUCAUAAAUUUGACAUAUUAUUAUGUAUGAUAUUUCACAUUGCUUAUUUCUUGAAUAUAUAAAUACAUUUAUCUCGUAUAUUAAUUAUUAUUAUAUUAAUUAUAGAAAUAGUUCAUACGUAAAUAAAUAAAUGGAUUAUUGGAAUUGGAAA